UUAAAUGAAUAACUUGUGAAUUUUGUGAAUUUGUUAUGUGGUAACACUACUGUGGUACAGGAACAGUAGGAUUAUCUAGGAUUAAAGAUGGCCGGUUGUCAACAAAGAGUGUUUGUGCUUUAUCUUGUUAGUAAACUUAGCAUUGAAAUAAAAUGGAAAAAUACAUGAACGAUACAUCAAAUGAAGAGGUUAGAAAAAGCACGCCGCUGUAUUGUCAUAGAAAAAUGAUACUGAAGAUAGAAAUCCAGUCAAUUUUACAAGAUCAAACACAUGAUGAUAUUUGGGAUCGUUUCGUGAAGAUUGAUGGUUCAAAAUAAUGCAUUUGGAGUUAAUCCCACUUGUUAAAUUUGUGGAUGAAUUACAGUCAGUGAAGAUGGAGAGUUAUCUUUUGAAUUUAAAAUCUUCACGUAUAAUGAAGUGCGAUGAAAUGGUAGUGAGAUGAGACAAGUCAUAUACUUUUUCGCCCUAGGAGUAGAUGGC